rnacentral:rRNA from 1 species
GACGAACGCUGGCGGUGUGCCUCACACAUGCAAGUCGAACGGAGUAGCAAUACUCAGUGGCGGACGGGUGAGUAACACGUGGGAAUCUGCCUUAGGUGGGGGAUAACUGACCGAAAGGUUAGCUAAUACCGCAUAUGUCGCAAGAUAAAAGGAGCAAUCCGCCAUAAGAUGAGCCCGCGUCCGAUUAGCUAGUUGGUAAGGUAAAGGCUCACCAAGGCGACGAUCAGUAGCUGGUUUGAGAGAACGACCAGCCACACUGGAACUGAGACACGGUCCAGACACCUACGGUGGCUGCAGUCGAGAAUCUUCGGCAAUGGGCGAAAGGCCUGACCGAGCGAUGCCGCGUGCGGGAUGAAGGCCU